ensembl:lncRNA
UGGUGUGACAGAGGACAUUACUCCACUAGCAGUGUGCAAGGUUGAAUCAACUGUUGGUUGUGCCAGUUUUUAUAUAUAUACUGGAAAGUGAGCACCGUCUUAAUUUUUUUUUCUUAGCAGCAAAUUAUCUUGGACCCAGCCCUUUUGAAGGAAAGGUGGCUGUUACUUUUAGUGACCAAAUAGCUAUGCUUCACACCUAGAGAGGAGAGGAACUGAGCAAACAGAGGCAGCUGCUCUAUUGCUCUCUUCCCUUUCAACAGGUCUCCAGUGUUACAAUACCCAGAGAGAAUUAACAUGAGAGAAGAGGAGGCAAGAAUAGCUGUUACUUUCUAAUGCUUACACGCUAUCCGCAUGCCUUUCCCCAUCCCUUCCACAAAACGGACAGAUCUUGCAGCAAGAUGUGCUAUUGUUAUGCAUGGGCUUUCGGGGGCUGCCUGGCUAAAGGCUUCCCCUGCCACACACACACGUUUUACCAGCUUUGCUACAACAUCGGAGAAGAGAGCUUCCUUGGCCCAAAUAUAACCGAAGCAGUGAAGCACUUGCUGUAGCUGGUAGGCUUGAAAAUCAGAAAUUUGGAAAACUGAUGAGCUGGACACCCUGGUCUCAUCUGCCUGUAAGCAUCCUUCCUCUGUUGGGAUUUAGCACCAGUACUUUUAGAGACACUUCUCCUGAUCUCUCUGAUUGACUAAAGACUUUUGUGAAGAACAAUGGCUGUGAGAAGAAAAUAGCAAAUCAGCUCUGGUUGGAUCUUCUUUCAGAGUGCGAAUCCAAUUGCUAAUUUCUGUCCUGUCAAGACUUUCUCAGCCCUACUACUUGUUCAUGCACGAGUGGAGGUCUGCUUCAGCGUGCAGCUACUUUGGAAAAUACUUUUCUCUGAAAUUGGCACAAGGUAAAUUCAAAGUGUUUUUCAGUGAUCACACAAUUUAAAGAUCAAUGUGAAUCAGUCCGUCUUUUUUUCCCCUUCCAAUCCAAACUUUCUGCCUCUGCCACCGGGGACUUUUUUCUAACCAAAACAAUUCAAAUGGUGUUUUGCCUAUACUGUAUUCUCAUUUGUUUUGUCCUACAAAAGGACUGGAGGUGUGAUUUUCUAGUAACAUAGCAAGUUGGGCCGUGAGAUUUUGGGACCAAAAAAACACCCACCCCUUCAUUCUUUCUCCCUAGUUAUCCUGAAAUAUUUUUAUUUUUAUUUAAUUCUUAAAACAAAACUAUUGAGUUUCAUGCUAAAUUCCUGCAUUGCUACAUUAACUUAGCACUAUAUCACUGCACAAACAAAAGAAGAUGAUAAAAUUCAAUAUAAAAUUUUUAAAAAUCCAAUGAACUCUUACAGACUACAGUGUUUCCAUGGUAUGUGUAUGUGUAUUUGUAUGGAAAAAGCUGUUCGUUUGCCCUAUCACUGAGCAACCUUUAAACAGUGCCAUUGGCUUGACAGCAGACCAUAAGAGGAGAGCUGGGGAUUGGCAGGUGGGCAGUAUUAAAGGAAGGGUGACUGUGAGCACAGAUCAACGCUUAUUGGAUUGAUGGGCCAGUGCAGACACUGGCAUGGAAACA